GAGUUUACAGUAGAAUGUGCAUGAGUAGCAAAAUGCCGGUGAGAUCCGCAGGCGUAAGUCUAAGGAUCCUACGCAACGUUGAUCGGCGUAGGGUUAGUCGGUCCUAAGGCGUAUCCGAAAGGAAAAGUCGAUGGACAGCUGGUGAAUAUUCCAGCACCUAUAAUUAAUUGUUUGAGUCAAAGGGGUGACGCAGAAAGAUAAACAGAGCAUACGUACUGGACAUCGUGUGUUUUUGCCUGUAGAUGAGUAGAGAAGGUUAAAAUAUUUUCUACGUUUGAAUUGAGGGGUGAGAAAACUAUGAGGUUCGCCUCGUAGAAUUCUGUCGACUCUAAACUGCCAAGAAAAGCCUCGUUGAUUAGAUUUUUCAUAGACCGUACCGCAAACCAACACAGGUAGACAGGGAUAAACGUCCCAAGGCCAUCGAGAGAACCAUCGUUAAGGAACUCGGCAAAUUGACCCCGUAACUUAGGGAGAAGGGGGACCUUCUGUGUAUAUGAGUUUACCUCAAAAAGCGUGGAAGGUAGCAUAAAAUAGGCUGAAGCGACUGUUUACCAAAAACACAGGUCCAUGCCAAAGCGAAAGCUGAUGUAUAUGGGCUGACGCCUGCCCAGUGCCGGUAGGUUAAGGAAAGUUGUGCAAGCAACUGACUGAAGCCCCGGUGAACGGCGGCCGUAACUAUAACGGUCCUAAGGUAGCGAAGUCCCUUGUCGGGUAAGUUCCGACCCGCACGAAUGGCGUAACGACUUCAGCACUGUCUCAACGAUGGACUCGGUGAAAUUGCAGGACCGGUAAAGAUGCCGGUUACGCGCAGCAGGACAAAAAGACCCCGUGGAGCUUUACUGCAACUUGGCAUUGGUUCGAGUUUUAAAAUGUGUAGGAUAGGCGGGAGACUUUGAACUCUAGGCGUCAGCCUAGGGGGAGUCGCCCUUGAAAUACCGCCCUUUUUAUGAUUUGGACCUAACACUUUUGGACAGUGUCUGGUGGGCAGUUUGACUGGGGCGGUCGCCUCCCAAAGAGUAACGGAGGCGUACAAAGGUCACCUCAGGCUGGAUGGAAAUCAGCUUUUGAGUGCAUUGGCAUAAGGUGGCUUGACUGCGAGACAUACAAGUCGAGCAGGGACGAAAGUCGGUCAAAGUGAUCCCACGGUUCCGAGUGGAAGGGCCGUGGCUUAACGGAUAAAAGCUACCCCGGGGAUAACAGGCUUAUCUUGCCCAAGAGUCCAUAUCGACGGCAAGGUUUGGCACCUCGAUGUCGGCUCGUCGCAUCCUGGGGCUGAAGAAGGUCCCAAGGGUCGGGCUGUUCGCCCGUUAAAGCGGCACGCGAGCUGGGUUCAGAGCGUCGUGAGACAGCUCGGUCUCUAUCCGCUGUGCGCGAAGGAUAUUUGAAGGAAUCUGUUCCUAGUACGAGAGGACCGGAAUGGGCAAACCAAUGGUGUAUCGGUUGUAACGCCAGUUGCAUAGCCGAGUAGCUAAGUUUGUUAGGGAUAAGCGCUGAAAGCAUCUAAGUACGAAGCCCCUCCUGAGAUAAGAUAUCCCAUCUCUUUAUGAGAGUAAGAUCCCCGGAAGACUACCGGGUUGAUAGGCUACAUGUGUAAGUAUAGUAAUAUAUUCAGCUAAGUAGUACUAAUAGAUCGAGGAUUUGAUAAA
rnacentral:rRNA from 1 species